ACUCCUUGUACUACAGAUACUCCAACAACUAUUACCAUGACUACGAUUUUAAAAUGCCUUUUUUUCUGGCACUGUUUAGAACUGGAUCAACCCAAAGAUAAGGGCCCAGAAGAUGCCUGAAGAGGACUCUUGAGAUCCAUGAGUACAAACCUCUUGUAGAAGAAGUGAGGUUUAUCAAGAGUGUGGAAAGUGGGAAAAGGAAGAGGGAGAGAGGGGCUGACAGCAAUCCCACACCACAGCUGGAGAGAACACUGGUCUUCCUGCUGACUCUUCUAUUCCCAUUCUGAUGAAGAAACUGAGGUUAAAAAAAAUUCUGACUUGGACAUGGAUACACAGCUAAGUGGCAGGAGCAGCAUUCAAACCUAGGUCCUAUUAACUCCAAAUAAAACAUACUUUCCUACUGGAGCUCUUGGGUAGAAAUCUGGAAGCAUCUGGAGAGUCUGCCAAUCGUAAGAACUGCAUUUGUUCUUUGGAAUGACAGUUUCCAACACUAUUCAAUGUGUCCUAUCAUUCCCACAGUGUCCUCAGAAGUAGUUAUUAUUAUUAUUAUUUUACUGUUCAAUUGAUAGUUCUGCUUUUUCUGCUGUAGAGCACUAGAUUUGAGUCAGGAAGACCUAGAUCAAAACCUUUGUUAGAUAGAAGCUUUGAAUAAAUCACUCAAAUUC